rnacentral:rRNA from 1 species
UGGGGAAUAUUGCACAAUGGGCGAAAGCCUGAUGCAGCGACGCCGCGUGAGGGAUGACGGCCUUCGGGUUGUAAACCUCUUUCAGUAGGGACGAAGCGCAAGUGACGGUACCUGCAGAAGAAGCACCGGCUAACUACGUGCCAGCAGCCGCGGUAAUACGUAGGGUGCGAGCGUUGUCCGGAAUUACUGGGCGUAAAGAGCUCGUAGGCGGUUUGUCACGUCGUCUGUGAAAUCCUAGGGCUUAACCCUGGACGUGCAGGCGAUACGGGCUGACUUGAGUACUACAGGGGAGACUGGGAUUUCUGGUGUAGCGGUGGAAUGCACAGAUAUCAGGAAGAACACCGAUGGCGAAGGCAGGGCUCUGGGUAGUAACUGACGCUGAGGAGCGAAAGCAUGGGUAGCGAACAGG